rnacentral:rRNA from 1 species
AGCUUGCUUCUCUUGAGAGCGGCGGACGGGUGAGUAAUGCCUAGGAAUCUGCCUGGUAGUGGGGGAUAACGUUCGGAAACGGACGCUAAUACCGCAUACGUCCUACGGGAGAAAGCAGGGGACCUUCGGGCCUUGCGCUAUCAGAUGAGCCUAGGUCGGAUUAGCUAGUUGGUGGGGUAAUGGCUCACCAAGGCGACGAUCCGUAACUGGUCUGAGAGGAUGAUCAGUCACACUGGAACUGAGACACGGUCCAGACUCCUACGGGAGGCAGCAGUGGGGAAUAUUGGACAAUGGGCGAAAGCCUGAUCCAGCCAUGCCGCGUGUGUGAAGAAGGUCUUCGGAUUGUAAAGCACUUUAAGUUGGGAGGAAGGGUUGUAGAUUAAUACUCUGCAAUUUUGACGUUACCGACAGAAUAAGCACCGGCUAACUCUGUGCCAGCAGCCGCGGUAAUACAGAGGGUGCAAGCGUUAAUCGGAAUUACUGGGCGUAAAGCGCGCGUAGGUGGUUUGUUAAGUUGGAUGUGAAAUCCCCGGGCUCAACCUGGGAACUGCAUUCAAAACUGACUGACUAGAGUAUGGUAGAGGGUGGUGGAAUUUCCUGUGUAGCGGUGAAAUGCGUAGAUAUA